rnacentral:RNase_P_RNA from 1 species
UGAGCCGGAUGAUGGCGACAUGACGGGUAUCUGUCAUGCCGAGGAAAGUCCGGGCUCCACAGGGCAGGAUGACGGAUAACGUCCGCCCGGGGUGACCCGCGGGAAAGCGCAACAGAGAACAGACCGCCGCAUUAUUUGCGGCAAGGGUGAAACGGCAGUGUAAGAGACUACCGCGUCUUUGGUAACAAAGAUGGCAGUGCAAGCCCCAUCCGGAGCAAGAUCAAACAGGAGACCAUAGGUUUGCCCGACCUGUUUCCAGGUAGAUCGCUCGAGCCUUCCGGUAACGGACGGCCAAGAUAGAUCAUCAUCAUCACGAAAGUGAUACAUAACCCGGCUUACAGGCUCACUUAU